rnacentral:rRNA from 1 species
AUUGAACGCUGGCGGCAGGCCUAACACAUGCAAGUCGAGCGGAUGAAGGGAGCUUGCUCCUGGAUUCAGCGGCGGACGGGUGAGUAAUGGCUAGGAAUCUGCCUGGUAGUGGGGGAUAACGUCCGGAAACGGGCGCUAAUACCGCAUACGUCCUGAGGGAGAAAGUGGGGGAUCUUCGGACCUCACGCUAUCAGAUGAGCCUAGGUCGGAUUAGCUAGUUGGUGGGGUAAAGGCCUACCAAGGCGACGAUCCGUAACUGGUCUGAGAGGAUGAUCAGUCACACUGGAACUGAGACACGGUCCAGACUCCUACGGGAGGCAGCAGUGGGGAAUAUUGGACAAAGGGCGAAAGCCUGAUCCAGCCAUGCCGCGUGUGUGAAGAAGGUCUUCGGAUUGUAAAGCACUUUAAGUUGGGAGGAAGGGCAGUAAGUUAAUACCUUGCUGUUUUGACGUUACCAACAGAAUAAGCACCGGCUAACUUCGUG